AGAAUCAACGCUGGCGGCGUGCCUAACACAUGCAAGUCGAACGAGAAAGUGGAGCAAUCCAUGAGUAAAGUGGCGCACGGGUGAGUAACACGUGACUAACCUACCCUCGAGUGGGGAAUAACUUCGGGAAACCGAGGCUAAUACCGCAUAAAACCUAAGGGUCAAAGGAGCAAUCCGUUUGAGGAGGGGGUCGCGGCAGAUUAGUUAGUUGGCGGGGUAAUGGCCCACCAAGACGAUGAUCUGUAUCCGGCCUGAGAGGGCGCACGGACACACUGGAACUGAAACACGGUCCAGACUCCUACGGGAGGCAGCAGUGGGGAAUUUGCGCAAUGGGGAAACCCUGACGCAGCAACGCCGCGUGGAGGAUGAAAUCCCUUGGGAUGUAAACUCCUUUCGAUCGGGAAGAUAAUGACGGUACCGGAAGAAGAAGCCCCGGCUAACUUCGUGCCAGCAGCCGC
rnacentral:rRNA from 1 species